AGUGAACGCUGGCGGUAGGCCUAACACAUGCAAGUCGAACGGCAGCACAGGAGAGCUUGCUCUCUGGGUGGCGAGUGGCGGACGGGUGAGGAAUACAUCGGAAUCUACUCUGUCGUGGGGGAUAACGUAGGGAAACUUACGCUAAUACCGCAUACGACCUACGGGUGAAAGCAGGGGACCUUCGGGCCUUGCGCGAUUGAAUGAGCCGAUGUCGGAUUAGCUAGUUGGCGGGGUAAAGGCCCACCAAGGCGACGAUCCGUAGCUGGUCUGAGAGGAUGAUCAGCCACAUUGGAACUGAGACACGGUCCAGACUCCUACGGGAGGCAGCAGUGGGGAAUAUUGGACAAUGGGCGCAAGCCUGAUCCAGCCAUACCGCGUGGGUGAAGAAGGCCUUCGGGUUGUAAAGCCCUUUUGUCGGGAAAGAAAUCCAGCUGGCUAAUACCCGGUUGGGAUGACGGUACCCAAAGAAUAAGCACCGGCUAACUUCGUGCCAGCAGCCGCGGUAA
rnacentral:rRNA from 1 species